rnacentral:lncRNA from 1 species
UAUUGGGGGCGGCGAUCUCUGAGUGCCGAGUCGCUGCUGGGGAAGCGGCCUACGAUGGCGGAGGAUGCUGUUCGCUUCGAAGAAGAUUUGCUGUUUCGGCAACUCCAUUUCACCAAGUGAACCGGAUAUGCAAAAGCUUUCUCUCCCUCUCUCGUGGACACGAUCUGUAUUUGGUCUGUUUUAGCCAAGGAUGAGUCAUGAAAUUUGAAUGACGAAAUCACGAGGAAGCUUGGAUGCAAA